UUUCGGAGAGUUUGAUCCUGGCUCAGGACGAACGCUGGCGGCGUGCCUAAUACAUGCAAGUCGAGCGGACUGAUGGGAGCUUGCUCCCUGAAGUCAGCGGCGGACGGGUGAGUAACACGUGGGUAACCUGCCUGUAAGACUGGGAUAACUCCGGGAAACCGGGGCUAAUACCGGAUAGUUCUUUUCCUCGCAUGAGGAAAAGUGGAAAGGCGGCUUCGGCUGCCRCUUACAGAUGGACCCGCGGCGCAUUAGCUAGUUGGUGAGGUAACGGCUCACCAAGGCAACGAUGCGUAGCCGACCUGAGAGGGUGAUCGGCCACACUGGGACUGAGACACGGCCCAGACUCCUACGGGAGGCAGCAGUAGGGAAUCUUCCGCAAUGGACGAAAGUCUGACGGAGCAACGCCGCGUGAGUGAUGAAGGUUUUCGGAUCGUAAAGCUCUGUUGUUAGGGAAGAACAAGUGCCGUUCGAAUAGGGCGGCACCUUGACGGUACCUAACCAGAA
rnacentral:rRNA from 1 species